ACUUAAUACGUUCUAGCUGUGCUUUGUUGCUCAGUCUCAAACAAGACUUAGCGACUAAGCAUUUACGCAAUGUAGUAGAAUGUAGUAGGCACUUGGUAAAUGUUUAUCUGAUGAAUGAAAACUUUCUGUUGCCACCAAGUUUACCCUGGGAUGAUCUUGGUCCUAUGGCUGCCUGAGGUCUUCUCAGUACAGAAAACUCUCUGAGAGGUCGCAAGAAAGGAUAUCACCUGGGCAAUUGGAGGUUUGGCCCUCAUCUGUAUAGAUUCAGAAAACCGAGUGGUCAGUGCAUUUUCACCAUUCAGAGGCUCUUUUUCUCAAAAAGUAUGUAUUGAGGGCUUUCUCUGAGCCUGGCAUUCUGCUGGGUGCUGAGAAUAAAGGAGCUUCAUGAGCACAGCCCCUGCCUUCACUUCAUUUACCACUUGGCUGGGGGGGUGGGGGUGUCCAUUCAAAAAGCCCUAAAAGGAAACAACUCAAGGGAGUUCCCUGGUGGUCUAGUGGUUAGUUAUGAUUCUAGGCUUUCACUGCUGGGGCUCAGGUUCAAUUCCUGGCAGGGGAACGGAGACAAGCCAAAACACAAAACAAGACAAAAACCAAGCCCCUUGUACUGGAGAGUAGAACUGGCCUGGUAUGGGAAGUACAGUGUGCUAGAGUUGCAAAACAGGAGCACCCAAAAUAUUUUGAGUGCUCAGGGGGCUUCCAAACACACUCCCAGAAGGCACUGUCUCCAGAAUAUGGCUCUCAGGCCUGAUUUACAAAGUCAAAAUGUCCCUUUAUUAAUAAUGAGCAAUGGGAGCAUCUCACUGAAUGCAAAUGUACACUGUGGACAGAGAAAGUUGCCUGCCAUUUCAGUAAACAAAGGAUAUUGAGACCAUAAAACUAACAGGCACCACUGUCACCCCAAGGGUGGGCCCUGAAUGGAUUCAGGAUGGGGAAAAAUAGGAUAGUGCCCCUAGAUAAAGUGUAUAUCAAAGGAAUGAUUUCAAUGGGCCCAGACUCUUGCAUCUUCCCAUACUAAAAUCAUUAACUUGAGAUGUGUGUUUUUGUGAUUAGCAGUAAUCUUUUGAUGUUCUGAUGGUUGACUACAUAUUUUUUUCUCAGCAAAGAACUUCCUAUAUAUUCUGGCUCCUCCCUUACCUCUUUUUUUUUGCCCCACUGAGUGGCUUGUAGGAUCUUAGUUCCCUUAGAUCCCGUUGUUCUCCAAGCAGAGAUUGAACCUGUGCCCCCUGCAGUGGAAGCACGGAGUCCCAACCACUGGCCCACCAGGUAACUCCCCUGCCCCCUUACCUUUUUGGAGCAGUCUCUGAGAACUAAGAGACUGCAUCCCGGGCUCAAGUCCUCAGUGAGUUUGCCAAAUAAAACAUAAUUUGGGGGAGUUCUCUGGCCGCCUAAUGGUUAGGAUUCUUCACUUUCACUGACAGGACUGGGGUUUGGUCCCUGGUUGGGGAACUGAGAUGCCACAAUUAGGUUUGCCUUUGUCUUCUCAGUCAACUACACACGUCUCCAUUCUGUCUCUCUCUGGAGUCAGAUUCACACAGGAAGACAGAUUCUAAUGGGAAGGUUAUUUGGUGAACAAGAAAUCAAAACAAUUCUCCCUGUUAAGAGGCAUUAGAUUUGAAUGUUGGGGCUUCUAUCCUCACACGAGGGACAGCCUUGGAAAUGGAGCCAUUAGUUUUGAACUUCUCUUUUUUGACCAAGAUCCUCUCUUUCCCGUUGAAUGGGCUUUGCCAACGUGGCCUCACUGACUCCCCUUUUCUAGGUUUCCACUCUUCUGAUGAGGUACAGCACUUCUUGAGAUUUGUCAGUACCUUUGUCUAUAUUAUAGAGUAUGACGAGGUCUGCUAAUUUACUGCCAGCAAGACAGUGUAGUAGUAGUAGCUUGUGUGUGUGUGUUGUGUAAAACUAAGAGCUAGCAAUGACCCCACUCAGGAUGUCACACACCAGGGGUAGUUGGCUAUAUUAAUCGGGGAGUCUGUAUCAUAGCUUCUAGCUACUGCAAAUGUUUCUGUUAGCCAUAGCUCAAUCAACAGCAGAGACUUUGCUAAGUAGUGAAAUGAAGGUUAGAAAUGGAUUUUCACUGGUGAAAUUAGUAACGUGUUAGCCAGUAUGAUGGGUGUUAGUAAUGGGU
ensembl:lncRNA